GUGGGGAAUUUUGGACAAUGGGCGAAAGCCUGAUCCAGCCAUGCCGCGUGCAGGAUGAAGGCCUUCGGGUUGUAAACUGCUUUUGUACGGAACGAAACGGUCCUGGCUAAUAUCCGGGGCUAAUGACGGUACCGUAAGAAUAAGCACCGGCUAACUACGUGCCAGCAGCCGCGGUAAUACGUAGGGUGCGAGCGUUAAUCGGAAUUACUGGGCGUAAAGCGUGCGCAGGCGGUGCUGUAAGACAGGCGUGAAAUCCCCGGGCUCAACCUGGGAAUUGCGCUUGUGACUGCAGUGCUGGAGUGCGGCAGAGGGGGAUGGAAUUCCGCGUGUAGCAGUGAAAUGCGUAGAUAUGCGGAGGAACACCGAUGGCGAAGGCAAUCCCCUGGGCCUGCACUGACGCUCAUGCACGAAAGCGUGGGGAGCAAACAGGAUUAGAAACCCCUGUAGUCC
rnacentral:rRNA from 1 species